rnacentral:lncRNA from 1 species
CGCCGUCCGAGGAGGUUACCUUAGCCAUUGGCUUAUGGCGGGGCACUUUCUCUUUCUUUCCUCACAUUUUUCAAUGUCUGGUGUCAGUGGUGUGAGCUUCUUCAUUGCAUUACGUGCACGUGGUCGCUGCCUCGUCAUGAAGAGAGUCUACUAUUUUGCAAGACAAAUAAGAUGAAAAGAGGAAAUUUGAAAAGGUAGAUUUCCUUGUUCAGUUUAUGAACUGUUAAUGGUGUUGUCUGGUGUUCAGUUUAGAGAUGCCUUGAGAUGGAUGAUCAACUGCUGCUGAGCCUUAUCAUCGUCUUUUUGGACGUGGAGAAUGGAGACGCUGUCCCGAGUACGUUAAGCUUGGCCAUUGCAGGCAACCUUCUCUCUUGACAUGUCUGGUGGAGUUUAAAAGCUUCUUAGUUCUUUAUUGCGUUACGUGUACGUGAUCGUUGCCGUUUGAUGAAGGUUCUCUAAGAGGGUCUCUACUACAUUGCAAGACAACACCGUGAUGGAAAUAGGAAAUCUAAAAUGAAGAAGUAAUAAUUUAAAUUAUGGAAAUCUUAAGUGUAUGAUCGCCUUAUCUGUCAAGUUUCCAUGGUGAGCUGGUUUGUUGUGGCUGUUUGGUGUGCAGUGAUUUUCCAGGAGAAAUGCGUUAAAAAGGGAUUAAGUGCCGCAACAAGUUGGCAAUAUGGCAAUCUUAUGCUACUGAGCCUGACGCCGUCUUCUAGGGAAACUGUCAGUUACAUUGUUCGUGCGGUCAACUUCAAAAUUCUUCACAAAUAUCUCAAAGGAUUAAUGGUUUGGUAAGACUGAGCUUUUUCAUGGUGGUUGAAAGUCGACAUAGAGCCAACUGGUGAAUGGUGUGGGGAAGUGCUGCAUGCCAUCUGUGGUGUUGGUUUCCAUUGUCAGUUAGAUGUAUCAGCUAAUUUUUCUGUUACUCUUUGGUGUGCAGUUUAUUUUUGGGUGGUUUUGUUGCAGGCAGCUGGUAAGAGGGAGUUCAAGUCGAGUUGAGCUGAAGGUUAAUGAACCAGUCGAUAAUGCUGGUGUCAAAAGUUAAAUAUCAAUGAAGACAUCUUGAAAUGGACUCGGUGACAAUGUGAUUUUCAAUCUGCUGCAUGUAGUUUUUGUUAUCAAAAAGUGGAGAAGUAAGACUGGAAGCAAAGCUGCAAGAAAAGGAAAUGAUUAACUCCAAACUGAUGUAG